rnacentral:rRNA from 1 species
UUCCGUAGGGUGACCUGCGGAAGGAUCAUUGUCGAAUCCUGCCAAGCAGAAUGACCAGAGAACUUGUGACGAACUCAAUGGGGGCGAUGGGUCUUCUUUUCCCAUCGUCCCUCGACGCCAGGAUCCCACGGGCGCCUGGAGCGCUCGGGGCAUUCUCGGCGGCACAACCCCCGGCGCGGAAUGCGCCAAGGAACUUGAACAAGAGAGCGAUGCUCCCACCACCCCAGACAUGGUGCGUGCGCGGGAUGCCAUGCAAUCUCCCAUUAUUCAUAACGACUCUCGGCAACGGAUAUCUCGGCUCUCGCAUCGAUGAAGAACGCAGCAGG